AUAUCAAACAUGUAAAUCGAAGAAUUCAUUAUAUACCCCAUUUUCAAUUGAAAAUUUCAAGCCAAAUAACGGACUUAUCUUGUCACGUGACACACCCCCAAAGUUAAAAUACUUAAAUAAAGGUUUAUUUUUGCUGAACUUGAUAAUACAAACCAAUUGAUUAAUGAUUUUCGGAAAGAAUAAUGAAUUGUUUGAGGUUUAUUGAAAAUCUAGGAAAAACCAGGCCUUAACAUGCCAGGGUAUGUGUUUAGACGCCGUCGUAUUGUGUUUAGACGUCGUCGUAUUGUGUUUAGACGUCGUCGCAUUGUGUUUAGACGUCGUCGUUAUGUGUUUAGACGCCGUCGUAUUGUGUUUAGACGUCGUCGCCGCUACAUCAGACCACGCUGUUACUGGACAAGAUGCCGACGUUGUCGAUAUGUAUGCAGAUAUGGAUGUCGUCGCCCGCGUUGCCGGGUCAUAUGUCGUUUUGUUAGAUGCAGACGUUGCUUUCGCGGAUAAAGAUCAGGACUGAUUUCAKGGAAAGAUGGAACGAAAAAAAAACACACACACAUCGAGACAUGACAACAUAAAAUAGGGCUUUUAAAAAAACUAUAAUGCUUGAGAUAAAACCACCCAAGAAUAAAUACCAGUACAUUAUUGCAUCUUCGUAGAUUGUUUGUCUUUAGCAAACUUUACGAAAAAAUAACGAUUUGGACACAGGGGCUAAAAACAAAUUUAGGGAAAAGGAUUUCCUUAUUUUAGUAGUUUGUAAAUCAUUGAUUUUUUUAAGGCAAGAAUGGCACUGUUGUAAUUAAUAAGUUGUAGCACAUUUCAGAAAUAAAGCAUUUGAAAAUCAAAGGACAUAUUUAUGUAUGGUUUGACCCACAGACAGUUUACAAUGCAAUAUCGACCCGGGGAUACUCCCCUAUAUUAUUCAUUAUUAUAUGUGGGCUCCGCCUAAUAGUGUAUGUAAUAGAUGACACUCAAGAGGGUGUCAAUGUUCAUCUAGUUGACUAAAAGUCAAAAUGAAAUAAACAAUGACAUAUUGACAUCAUUAAAGGGAACACUUUUUGUUUUAUGUCUUGGAAAGGAUCUAAAUUUUAACGAUUUUUCUUUAAUGAUGAGUAGGGUCAGGGUUUUGAAGGACCAGCGGAACGUCCCAGUCCAAAUCUGGAUGAAGUUCGAGUAUCAAGAAAAUAUCGACUCAUCACAGCUGGACCAAUUUGUGAUAACGUUGACUGAGUUUAUCACAUAGUCAUGUUACGAACGCUUUUUUGAAUAGUUAGCCACUUGAUAACGCUCCUUCGAGUAAAUGGCAGCAAUAUUGAGCUUUUGUCUACAGGUGAAAAAGCAGAAGUCGAAUGCAAACCGAAGCAUUCACAGAUCGCCAUGUAAAAUAAAAUUUUUACCAAUUCUAUUAAGUAUAUUUUUAUGAAUAUUUUUUCGUCAGCACCUUCCGCAGGUAAAUAAAAGCUUUGCGUUUUUCAGAGCAGAAGUGUUUAUAUAAAAUUUUAAGACAUUGCAAAGCCAAUAGUGAACUAAAUACUCCAGCUGUGUCAUUAUUAUUAAAAUAUGGUAAAACCCGAA